rnacentral:tRNA from 1 species
CCCCGUGUAGUUCAAUGGACAGAACUGCCGCGUCCUAAGCGGUCAAUCUAGGUUCGAUUCCUAGCGCGGGGA